rnacentral:rRNA from 1 species
UGCCAGCCGCCGCGGUAAUACAGAGGUGGCAAGCGUUGUUCGGAAUCACUGGGCAUAAAGGGGGCGUAGGCGGCGUAGAAAGUCAGGUGUGAAAUCCCUCGGCUCACCCGAGGAACUGCGCCUGAUACUACUAUGCUUGAGUUUAGGAGGGGAGAGUGGAACUCCUGGUGGAGCGGUGAAAUGCGUAGAGAUCAGGAGGAACGCCGGUGGCGAAAGCGACUCUCUGGCCUAAUACUGACGCUGAGGCCCGAAAGCUAGGGGAGCAAACAGGAUUAGAUA